UGGGGAAUCUUGCGCAAUGCGCGAAAGCGUGACGCAGCAACGCCGCGUGAGGGAAGACGGCCUUCGGGUUGUAAACCUCUUUCAGUUGGGACGAAGGGCAACCGGUGAAUAGCCGGCUUGCUUGACGGUACCUUCAGAAGAAGCCCCGGCUAACUACGUGCCAGCAGCCGCGGUAAUACGUAGGGGGCAAGCGUUGUCCGGAAUCAUUGGGCGUAAAGCGCGUGUAGGCGGCUUGGUAAGUCCGUUCUGAAAGCCCGGGGCUCAACCCCGGGAGGCGGAUGGAUACUGUCAAGCUCGAGUCCGGAAGAGGCAAGUGGAAUUCCCGGUGUAGCGGUGAAAUGCGCAGAUAUCGGGAGGAACACCAAUGGCGAAGGCAGCUUGCUGGGACGGUACUGACGCUGAGACGCGAAAGCGUGGGGAGCAAACAGG
rnacentral:rRNA from 1 species